GUGCUCGCUUCGGCAGCACAGAUACUAAAAUUAAAACGAUACAGAGAUGAUUACCAUGGCCCCUGUGCCAAAAUAAUAUUCAUUGGGGUCAGAGUGAUGAUAGCACAGU